ACGCUCGACACCUACGGGAAGGCAGCAGUGGGGAAUAUUGCACAAUGGGGGAAACCCUGAUGCAGCGACGCCGCGUGAAGGAAGAAGUAUCUCGGUAUGUAAACUUCUAUCAGCAGGGAAGAAAAUGACGGUACCUGACUAAGAAGCCCCGGCUAACUACGUGCCCGCAGCCGCGGUAAUCUGAGCGGGCGUGGCGAAGGC
rnacentral:rRNA from 1 species